AGAGUUUGAUCCUGGCUCAGGACGAACGCUGGCGGCGUGCCUAACACAUGCAAGUUGAGCGAAGUGCUUACAACUGAUCCCUUCGGGGUGACGAUGUAAGUAUCUUAGCGGCAAACGGGUGAGUAACGCGUAAGAAACCUGCCAUUCACAGGGGAAUAGCCUCGGGAAACCGGGAUUAAUGCCUCAUGAUACCGAACCAUUACAUGAUGGAUCAGUUAAAGCGUAAAGCGGUGAAUGAUGGUCUUGCGUCCCAUUAGCUAGUUGGUGAGAUAAAAGCUCACCAAGGUAACGAUGGGUAGCCGGCCUGAGAGGGUGAUCGGCCACACUGGAACUGAGAUACGGUCCAGACUCCUACGGGAGGCAGCAGUGGGGAAUAUUGCACAAUGGAGGAAACUCUGAUGCAGCGACGUCGCGUGAAUGAUGAAGGCUUUCGAGUCGUAAAAUUCUGUCCUUGGGGAAGAUAAUGACGGUACCCAAGGAGGAAGCUCCGGCUAACUACGUGCCAGCAGCCGCGGUAAUACGUAGGGAGCGAGCGUUGCCCGGAUUUAUUGGGCGUAAAGGGUUCGCAGGCGGCCUUAUAAGUCAGAUGUUAAAGACCAUAGCUUAACUAUGGAAAGCAUUUGAAACUGUAUGGCUUGAGUCAAGGAGAGGAAAGUGGAAUUCCUAGUGUAGCGGUGAAAUGCGUAGAUAUUAGGAAGAAUAUCAGUGGCGAAGGCGACUUUCUGGACUUGUACUGACGCUGAGGAACGAAAGCAUGGGGAGCAAACAGGAUUAGAUACCCUGGUAGUCCAUGCCGUAAACGAUGAGUGCUAGGUGUCGGGGGUCAAACCUCGGUGCCGGAGCUAACGUAUUAACCACUCCGCCUGGGGAGUACGUGCCCAAGCAUGAAACUCAAAGGAAUUGACGGGGAACCACACAAGCCACGGAGCUUGUGGUUUAAUUCCAAAAUACGCAAAGAACCUUUACA
rnacentral:rRNA from 1 species